UACGUAGGUCCCGAGCGUUGUCCGGAUUUAUUGGGCGUAAAGCGAGCGCAGGUGGUUUAUUAAGUCUGGUGUAAAAGGCAGUGGCUCAACCAUUGUAUGCAUUGGAAACUGGUAGACUUGAGUGCAGGAGAGGAGAGUGGAAUUCCAUGUGUAGCGGUGAAAUGCGUAGAUAUAUGGAGGAACACCGGUGGCCAAAGCGGCUCUCUGGCCUGUAACUGACACUGAGGCUCGAAAGCGUGGGGAGCAAACAGG
rnacentral:rRNA from 1 species